GAUGAACGCUAGCGGCAGGCCUAACACAUGCAAGUCGAGGGGUAGGACACUUCGGUGUUUGAGACCGGCGCACGGGUGCGUAACGCGUAUGCAAUCUACCUUGUACAGGGGAAUAGCCCAGAGAAAUUUGGAUUAAUGCCCCAUAGUAGAUAACCUUCGCAUGUUGGUUAUAUUAAAGUUCCAACGGUACAAGAUGAGCAUGCGUCCCAUUAGUUAGUUGGUAAGGUAACGGCUUACCAAGACGAUGAUGGGUAGGGGUCCUGAGAGGGAGAUCCCCCACACUGGUACUGCGACACGGACCAGACUCCUACGGGAGGCAGCAGUGAGGAAUAUUGGUCAAUGGGCGCAAGCCUGAACCAGCCAUGCCGCGUGCAGGAAGACGGUCCUAUGGAUUGUAAACUGCUUUUAUACAGGAAGAAACAACUCUACGUGUAGAGUCUUGACGGUACUGUAGGAAUAAGGAUCGGCUAACUCCGUGCCAGCCGCCGCAGUAAAAC
rnacentral:rRNA from 1 species